rnacentral:misc_RNA from 1 species
CAGUCCAUGGCUGAGAGGUAC